rnacentral:lncRNA from 1 species
GUAUGUGGGUAUCAUUCUACCUGGGGACCUUAUGGCUUUUGAGUAGGAAACCAAGCCAGACUCAAAUCCUGUUUAUCAACAUAAAAAUAACCUCUCCUUAAACCGAGACUUGUUUGGCACAGAUUGGAUAAAAACAAAUUAGAAAAAUGAAUGGGCAGUGCUGAAGCUUUCCAAAGACUUUUCCAGCAAAGACUAAAACUUCUCAAAAACAAAAACUGCUUGUAGGAAUUUCUAUUGGGAAAGUUUCUCAAUGUAAGGAUGGAAUUCUAAUGACAAGAGAGGUUCUCCACAACGUGAGAGCUCUGACUGUAAGAAGAGGAGCUUGGCUCCCACACUGGCCAAAACUGAAAAUCUGAAAAAUUAGGACAAGCAUUACAGGUGACAGGUCUUGAACUGACAUGAGGUGGGUGGGUAAUGUCAGUCUGAAAGACUUUUAGUGAUGUGACAACUCUGUGAACACUCUGUGGUUAAGAAGAAGAAGCUGUUGUUGAGUAUAAAUGAGGAAAAGUGGCCUGUUAGUGAAGGGCUAGAAAAACAACAUCUGCAGCAACACACUGAACAAUAAGUGAAGGGACACCCACACAUUUAUUUUUUUUCAAGGCCAAAGGAAAGAACAUUGUAAUUAAUGAGAUGCUAAGUGGUCAAAUGGAAUGUAUAAUGAUAAUAGCACACACAUCAUUGUAUGCUCAAGGUUAUGCAGGAAGAAAAUGCAAAAAGUAGGCAGGCUUCUGGGGAGGAUCUGAAAGAGCUGAAACUGAGGAGAUUUCCUGGGUAUAAAGCCAAGGGCUGACAUUAUUGCUCUAAGUACCAUAGAAAACAGGCAGAAAUGGAGCCCUUUCUUUGCUCUUAUUUAUCUUAUAAUGAUGACAGGACCACAGAGAGAUGAGUAAGGAUUUAAUUUUGGAUCAGCUAAAAUUCUAUGGCUCACUGAGUGUUGAGUUCAGUUUUAUGGACAAUGCUUGACUGCUAGCGGAAAAAAAAAAGGGGGGGGGGGAGGAGAAAGAAAGAAAGAAAAGAAAGAAAGAAAGAAAGAAAGAAAGAAAGAAAGAAAGAAAGAAACUACUAAAAAAAAGAGCCUUAAACAAGUCAGAUCCUCUUCUUCCAUUUACAUAUUCCUCCCCAAAAGCGGAAGAGGAAAAAAGAACAAAGAUUCUCUGAGAGAGAGGGUUAAUAGUAUACAAAGAAGGAGAAUGUCUGAAGGACAAAUAAUAUCCUCAUCAGUGGGAGCCCAUAAAUUGGAAUAUACUCCGAAUGGACAAAAAAUCGUCUUGUUCUUUCUGCUGAUGCUGGGAUCCGAACACAAGUGAGAGGGAAAACUAGACUCCUCAGUACCAGUAAGUUAACUUUCUUUCAGCACAUAAAAUUAACUUCAGUAGAAAUCAGGCAGCCAUGCAUGAGAGCAGAAUUUGGCCCAUACUGCAUUUUUUGUCAGUGUUUUAGUACAGUUCAUACGAUACUCUUUUGCUCUCUUCAUCUGUGACCCAAAACUGUUUUUUGUCAGUGUAAAACUUAUUUUUACAGUUCUAGUAAGAUUUAAUAUGGACCCUUCCUUAAAGAGAUAAUUUGCUUUGUUCUGUCAGAUUUCCACAAGCCUAAAAACAAUGUUUUUUAGUGGGCAUGUAAUUAAUAAUUUUAUUGCUUUACAUAUUUUUAUUGGACCUUUAUGCUGCAGAAAGGUAUAUUAACUCAUUCAAUAAAUACUUCAAGCUGUUAUUUCA